rnacentral:misc_RNA from 1 species
GAUGAAGAACGUAGCGAAAUGCGAUAAGUAAUGUGAAUUGCAGAAUUCAGUGAAUCAUCGAAUCUUUGAACGCACAUUGCGCCCGCCAGCAUUCUGGCGGGCAUGCCUGUUCGAGCGUCAUUUCAACCCUCGCAGCCCAUCUGGGCAGCGGUGUUGGGGACCGGCACCACCGGCGAAGCCCUUAGGGGCCCAGCCGGCGCCGCCCCCGAAAUACAGUGGCGGUCUCGCUGCAGCCUCCCUUGCGUAGUAGCACACCUCGCACCGGAGCGCAGCGCGGCCAAGCCGUAAAACCCCCGACUUUCUGAGUUUGACCUCGAAUCAGGUAGGAAUACCCGCUGAACUUAAGCAUAUCAAUAAGCGGAGGA